rnacentral:lncRNA from 1 species
UUCUGUGGCCCCGCCCCCCUGCGCCAAGCAGGCGCUCGGGUUACGUCACGCUGGGUGCGACUUCAGACUAGCAGAGGGUUCUUCUCCAGAUAGAUGUUUCCCAAAUGGGAGCUCCAGCCCCGGGCAGGCUUCUGGCGUGGAGACAUAACGGUGACGCGAAGGAAAAGCGAUGUGAGAAGAGCGGAGGGAAGCGGGCGGAGGUGUCUAAGGGAGAGUCCAUCCCUGGCCAAGCGGCCAGACAUCUAUCCCUACAGCCCCACCCUGAAGCUAAAGUUGGCUGCAGCAUUUCCUCCGAAGUUUAAGCUGCAUACUGCCAGUAACCCUUUAUAAAAACGACGGCCGAGUGGCUUGGCACGCUUUGGAUUCCUGGAUCGUUUUGGCUAGGAAUUGAACCCAGGGCCUUGUUCAUACUAGGAAAGAACUCCACCACUGUUGUUCGUAACUCCAGCUUCAGGAGGUCUGGCACCCUAUACUCACCUCCAUGGACAUCUGUACACACGUGACAUGCACGAAUACAUACAUAUAAAUAAAAAUAAAAAAUAAAUUGAAAAGAAGAGAAUUCUGUGGCCAGUGUGCUCUCUCCAUUGGAACUAUAAUAUCCUGUGGAAUCUCCUGAGACUGUACAAGUGGUUGUUUUGCUUUGCCUUCACACCAUUAGAGACAAUCAUGAAGCCAGAAGAGUGACUCACAGCUAACAAAUUAUGACAUGGAAUGAACAAAUAUCUGAUUGCUUAACCAGAGUUGGAAUAGACAUUAUGCUAAGACAUUGAUUCCAGUUGUGUGUGAAUAUGUGUGUCCACAUGUACCCAUGCAUGUAUGCACGUGUGGAAUGAAUUAACAUGAAAAUCAUACAUCUGACAUUUUAUAGUUUUCAAACUUACAAAUAAAUUUGGAAAAACAUUGAUCUGAAGUGUUGUGUCUUCCCUGAAAUGAAUGAUUAUUCCAUGGGUUAAAUGAACUAGCCAAGCCUGAUUUCUAUUUCCCAUCCUAG